AUGAUAGAUACUGAACUGUAUUGUAUUUCUGUAGUUCUUAUUACUACAGGGGUGUUAAAAGAGGAUAAUUUCACUGUUUCACGCGGGCAUUUUUUUUUCCUAUGCAAAGUGGAGUGAGUUCUUGGAGAAAAGUGAAUACCACAUACAGGACUUUGUCAUUUCUGUGUGCAGAGUGAUAAUUGUUACAACAGAGAAAAGCAUAGCCCGUGCUCCAGCGAGAAAGCCUCCUUUUAUUGGCCUUUAGGAACUGUUGUGGUUUGAAUAUGAUUUGGCGUCACCAAAGCUCGUGUUGAGGCUUAGCCUCCAAUAAGACAGUGUUGUUCAGAUCUUUGAGAGCUCUUCUGUAAGAACUUGCUCCUGCUUCCUUUCCAUCUUUUUCCUAUGGAGCCACACACAGAUGCUGGUGCCAUGCUCUUGGACCUACAGAACUUGAACUACUUGCCUCACCUGAGUCUGGGAGAAAGGCUAUCCAAAUGAUGGUUUUGAUUACAAAGUGGUGUGCAAGAACUGGGUUUAUAUACUAUUCUUUUCAUGGUAUUCUAGGAGCCUGGCACUGAUGUGAGUAUGGUAGUUUUAUCUGUAGGUGGGAUUUGAAAACCCUUUGAAAUGU